rnacentral:lncRNA from 1 species
UUGCAACUUCGGUCUAUAUGAUACAUACAUGUUGUCUUUAUAUUCUUGUGAUAUACAAAAGUUUUUUAAAUUACUAUUGACAUAGAAAUUUUGCUAUAUGUGAAGAACAUAGCCUAGAGUCUGUAAGAUUUUGGUAUAAUUCCAGCACUUCAGAUUCGGCAAUAAUAUAUUUGUAAUCUAUGCAUACAAUGUACUAAUCGAUAACGGGUUCACUAUAUAUAUGCAAGGACUUAACCAAUCAAGUUUCAAAAAGAGUCAAUCUGGUUUUUAACGAUGAUGAAAACCAUUUCAGAAAUUACUCAAGUAGCAGUGGUCCGAUACUCCCAUCAGAAAUCAGAACGGUCAUGUUUCUUCUGCCCUUGAUAAUUUACACGUACGGCACAUUCGUACUCUCAAACUUUUCCCGGUAAAAUUCACACAGCACAUGCUGCUGCAUCGCGCGCACGCAGCUGAUCAUCAGCAACCGACGGCGGCGGACGGGCAAUAAACGGCCAGCUCACAGGCUGGGCACCCUCUCGGCGGCGCCGGAGAUGACGGUGAGCAGGUUGUUGCCGAAGGGGUCGCUGAGGUGCGCGCACAGGUUCUCGAAGGGGCCCUCGCCGGUGACGUAGGCCUGGAUGAAGAAGCCCAGCAUGGAGAACAUGGCCAGCCGCCCGUUCUUGAUCUCCUUCACCUUGAGCAGCGCCGCCUGGUCGGGGUCGGUGGCGAGGCCGAGCGGGUCGAAUGGGCCACCGGGGUGGAGCUUGUCGUCAAAUUCCUGCCGGAGAAGUUGACCAAACCGUUGGUCACUACAAGGACGCCUGGCUGCGGCAACGCAUAUCUAUGUUUCAGGAUACUGACCAGCCCGUUGGUGAUCCUGUAGUACUCGGCGCCUCCGACGAGGACGACCUCGGCGACGACGGCGAGGAUGAGGUUGAUGGGGAUGCUGUUGCCGAAGUAGUUGAGGGUGUUCCCGUCAAGGAGCAGGGCGCCGGUCUGCAGGAUGU